AAUCAACGCUGGCGGCGUGCCUAACACAUGCAAGUCGCACGAGAAAGGGACUUCGGUCCUGAGUACAGUGGCGCACGGGUGAGUAACACGUGAAUAAUCUACCUUCGAGUGGGGAAUAACUGAGAGAAAUCUUAGCUAAUACCGCAUAAUACCUACGGGUCAAAGCAGCAAUGCGCUUGAAGAGGAGUUCGCGGCAGAUUAGUUAGUUGGCGGGGUAAUGGCCCACCAAGACGAUGAUCUGUAUCCGGCCUGAGAGGGCGCACGGACACACUGGAACUGAAACACGGUCCAGACUCCUACGGGAGGCAGCAGUGGGGAAUUUUGCGCAAUGGGGGAAACCCUGACGCAGCAACGCCGCGUGGAGGAUGAAAUAUCUUGGUAUGUAAACUCCUUUCGAUCGGGAAGAUAAUGACGGUACCGAGAGAAGAAG
rnacentral:rRNA from 1 species